rnacentral:snoRNA from 1 species
AAGUUGGAGGAUGAGGAAUUGGUCUCCUAUAUCCUCACCGGCCUUGAUCAAGACUACGACUCAGUGGUGCCCGCGGUGGCGGCACAUGUCGAACCGAUCUCAGUUGGGGAACUGUUUGCCCAAUUGACAUUGUUCGAGU